ensembl:lncRNA
UGUGAAAACACCCUGUCUGUAUCAUCUACUGUUUGUUGUCAGUUUGCCUGAGGUUGACAGGAGGUUCAGCAUUUGUUAAUAUUUUUCUAUUAUCUUUAUUCUUUUAAGAUUAAAUCCACAGUGUUGAUAUAUGAAGAGGAUGGAACAGUUUCUUAUUGUUGUGUUAUUAGCAGGAGGAACUCAUGCUUUCUUUCCAGUUGAUGAAACUACAUGUGAUCUCAAUGCAAACAGAUGUCCAUGCUCUCCUCUUCUUAAAGGAACUGUGUAUAUCCAAUGUGAUGUGAUGGCUAAUGCUAGUGGCCGUGAUGUGAAGUGUUUGAAGGUGCUUCCCAGGGUGAACAUAACUGUGUUUAAUCUCAAGAAAGAAAAAAUAAUGAUAGACAAGGAAUUUAACAACAGACUACAGUUCAUGAACGGGACACUCAAGAUCACAAACGUGAAGAGGAAUGAUUCAGGUCAAUACAGCAUUGAGGUCUUUAAUUCAAAUGGAGUCCAAGAGAAAAACAUUGUUUUCACCCUGGAUGUUAAAGAAAAUGGCAAAGUUGAAGGUUUGGAAACUUGCUGUGACAUUAAACAGCAUGGAGCUCAGUGUUAUGGAUCUUUAGGUGGAAAUGUGGACAUCCAACUGAUGGACAAUACCUCAAAGACAUCAAAAUACCAAUUGAUAAAAAAUUCAUUAAAAAUACUAAAUGUCAGAAAUAAUAAAGUUCUUCCUAAUGCUGAAGGACAAAGAUUUGUCUUUUCUCCCAGUAAUGGAACAUAUAGGAUUCCUAACAUGAGCAGGAAUGACAGUGGUAAUUAUACCCUUCAAACCUUUGAUUCAGAUGGAAGAGCAUCAGGCGAGUGGACUUUACAGUUGUUUAUUCAAGCUCCUGUGUCCUCUGUCCUGCUGGUCUUGGAGUGUCUGUCCCAGGGAGAGAGGAGGGCGUCCUGCUCCUCUGAGGGAGGGGACAGUCUUCAGUACAGCUGGACUCUGAAUGGACGCACACUGACAGAUGCUGAGCUCCUUUCUGUAAAUAAUGAGACUAACAUUAUUACCCUGAAACAGCACGUCGCAGGACAUCUGGUCUGCUCAGUCAGGAACAACGUCAGUAAUGUCUCCAAAGAGGAGAGGAUAUCUACCUGUGAAGCAGGUAUUUUGCAAGUGAUCGGUGGUGUUCUCUUAGCACUGCUAAUUUUAUUAGUUAUUGGUAUAGCAAUCAUCUUUGAUCAGAGGAAAAAACAAAACUACAAACCUACAAAAGAAAAAGACGAAGAGGAUGACCAAGUGGAGCUCAGAGCAGCAGUGAAUUUGCAGGCCGAGAUUGAGCUGGAGUUCGAUGUCGAGAUUGAGAGUGAAGAUGAAGAUGAGGGUGAGGGCGAGGGUGAGGGUGAGGCAGAGGCAGAGAAAAAGGUGGAAGUGGAGUAUGCCCAGGUCAAGUUUCCAAAGCAACCUCGACACACUCAACCAACAGGAGAUAAUUAUUUAUAUGCAACAGUCCGUAAAAUGAGGUGAUUUAAAUGGUCAGUGUCUUUAUACAGACUGCACCACUGAAGGUCCACAUGAGGAGGUGACAUCAAGACACCUAAAGACACUUUUAAUUAUCAGGCAAAUACACAAAGCUCAGCUGAUUAAAACAGAGCAUCAAUGCAUCCAGUUUUAGGUUCCUUCCAUGUUUAAUUACAAGCAAUAUGUGCGUUGUCUGCAUUUGCAUUGUGUUAAAGCUCUGAUAGAAUUAAGGUCAUGAUUGUAGUCAUCCUUUAAAUGAAAAUGAUUAAAGUAAAAAGUGUGGUGAACAUUUCUAUGAAUUUCUGUGCAGCAAAAACUUGAAACAGUGAUAAAGCAUCAAUGUAAAUAAGGCCCAGCAAAGGCUCUUUAGACUGCUGGCAAACUUCUAUAGAUAUGCAACAGAAAGCAUCAUCUAUUGUAGUAUGACAGUAUGGCAUGGCAGCUGCACGGCACAGGACAGAAAUGACAUGGCCAGGGUAGUGAGAACAGCACAGGGCACUGUGGGAAAUCUUCUCCCAGAUCGGGACUCUGUGUAUGCUUGCUGUGUCCAGAAGAAAACCAGCUGCUUUGGUGCAAAUCCCACGCACUUGAGUAAAUGACUGUUUGUCCGUCUGCCUUCUUGAAGGUGGUUUAGGACUAAGCAAGAAGCAUUAGACUGAAGCACACUUUUUCCCCUAGAACAAUGAACUCUAUCACCCCCUGUGCACGCACACACACACACACACACACACACACACACACACACACACACACACACACACACACACAGGACAACUGCACUUUGGAACAUGUAACUACAAUGCUACCGUAUUUUCCUGUUCUGUAUAUUUAUAUAUUAUGUAUCUUUCUGUGCUUUGUAUACUAGUUGGUAUUAAGCUGACCACAUGCAAUUCCGUUAUGUGACUGCGUAAUAAAGGAAACAACAAAGGAUCUUUGACUCAUUUAAAUCUUUGAAUCAGCCAUUCAAAACAAUGGACAAUGCACAACAGAGCUGUAGGUGAAAGUUCAGGCAGGGUGGAGAGGGUGAAGAUGAGUGUCAGGGUGAUUUCUGAAAGAAGGAUAUUGGAGCUAGAAUGAAAGGGACAGUUUCCAAGAUGGUAGUAAGACCUCCUUAUGAUGGAUGGAGUGCUGAUUUGGAGACAGAAACAAGAGACAAAGCUGGAGGUGGCAGAGUUGACAAUAUCAAGAUUUACAGUUGAGUGUCCAGCAUGCACAAGAUUAUAAGUAAUUAUAUCAGUGGGGCAAGAAAAGUAGAUUUAGAAUGUAAAAAAGUAAACUGUGAAUUUGUUUUAAGAAUAAAGUGCUAACAAAAAUGUUA